rnacentral:sRNA from 1 species
AUUUUAAAAAAUCAAUAAACUUUGGUUUGUUAUAAUUUCAUUAAUUUUAAUUAUGUGGUAAUAUAACAUCAUAAGAUAGUCAUCUGAGUUGUUCGUAAGUUUGCUUUUUAAUUUGGGCCUAACACUCUUUGAUCAAGGGAGCCCAAUGGGUUUUCUUGCAGCGUACACGCCUUAUAUGAAGGACGUACAAAACAAGAAACAGGGCACCCACCUGUAUAUAACAGGCCGAAUGAUCAAGCUAUUAUAACUACGGCAAUACGGACUCUAUCGAUACGCAAGACUUUGUCUUGCGUAUUUUUAUGCUUUUCUUUAAGUUUUUAAUAAAGAAUUAG